UGGGGAAUAUUGGACAAUGGGCGAAAGCCUGAUCCAGCCAUGCCGCGUGUGUGAAGAAGGUCUUCGGAUUGUAAAGCACUUUAAGUUGGGAGGAAGGGCAUUAACCUAAUACGUUAGUGUUUUGACGUUACCGACAGAAUAAGCACCGGCUAACUCUGUGCCAGCAGCCGCGGUAAUACAGAGGGUGCAAGCGUUAAUCGGAAGUACUGGGCGUAAAGCGCGCGUAGGUGGUUUGUUAAGUUGGAUGUGAAAUCCCCGGGCUCAACCUGGGAACUGCAUUCAAAACUGACUGACUAGAGUAUGGUAGAGGGUGGUGGAAUUUCCUGUGUAGCGGUGAAAUGCGUAGAUAUAGGAAGGAACACCAGUGGCGAAGGCGACCACCUGGACUAAUACUGACACUGAGGUGCGAAAGCGUGGGGAGCAAACA
rnacentral:rRNA from 1 species